GCCAAGCUUCACCACAACCGCUCUCUCACUCCCCCUCCUCAAAGAGGAACGGGGAGAAAAUACAAUGAAAAGGGCUCAAGGGUUGAGAUAAGGACAGGGAGAUCACGCAGUAAUUAUUGUGACAGGCAAAACAGACUCAGCAUAGGGAGAUAGUAAGAUUUAUUACCUAUUACUAACAAGCUAGAGAAGUGAGAAACAAAGGAAAGAAACCAAAAGCACCUUCCCCCCCAUCCACCCUCUUCCACCUCCUCCCCCCGAGCGGCGCAGGGGAACGGGGGAAUGGGGGUUAUGGUCAGUCUAUAGCGCUUCUUCGCCGCCGCUCCUCCUCAGUCACUCGUGUCCCCUGUGCUGUGGGGUCCCUCCCACGGGAUGCAGUCCUUCCCGAACUGAUCCUGCGUGGGCUGCCCACAGGCAGCAGCUCUUCAAGAACUGCUCCAGAUAUGGGUCCGCACCACGGGGUCCAUCGCUCAGGAGCAAACUGCUCCAACCUGGAUCCCCCACGGGCAGCAGCUCCUGCCAGGUCACCUGCUCCUGCGUGGGCUCCUGUCCACGGGCUACAGGUCCGGCCCAGAAUCUGCUCCGGCAGGGGUCUUCCAUAGGCCGCAGCCUCCGUCGGUGCAGGUCCACCUGCUCCACCGUGGUCUUCUCCACGGGCUGCAGCGUGGAACCCUGCCCCACUGUGGUACUCCAUGGGCUGCAGGGGAACAGCCUGCUCCACCGUGGUACUCCAUGGGCUGCAGGGGGACAGCCUGCUUCACCAUGGUCCUCACCACAGGCCGCAGGGGACUUCUGCUCUGGCACCUGGAGCACCUCUCCCCCUCCUUCUUCACUGACCUUGGCGCCUGCAAGGCUGUUCCUCACUCCUCUCACUCUCCCAGCAGCUGUGUGGCACAGCGUUUUUUUUUUUUUCCCUGUCUUAAGUAUGCUCUCACAGAGGCACAAAACUACAUUUCUUAUUGGCUCGGCUCUGGUCAGCAGCGGGGCCCUUACAUAACAUGGGGCAGCUUCUAGAUUCUUCUCACAGAAGCCACCCCUAUGGCCCCCUGCUACCAAAAUCUUGCCAUGUAAACCCGCUACAGCCCCUCAAACAACUGCAUCAGUGGAAAGUAGGAGAG
rnacentral:lncRNA from 1 species